UACGAAGGGGACUAGCGUUGUUCGGAAUUACUGGGCGUAAAGCGCACGUAGGCGGAUUUGUUAGUCAGGGGUGAAAUCCCGGGGCUCAACCUCGGAACUGCCUUUGAUACUGCAAGUCUCGAGUCCGAUAGAGGUGGGUGGAAUUCCUAGUGUAGAGGUGAAAUUCGUAGAUAUUAGGAAGAACACCGGUGGCGAAGGCGGCCCACUGGAUCGGUACUGACGCUGAGGUGCGAAAGCGUGGGGAGCAAACGGG
rnacentral:rRNA from 1 species